rnacentral:rRNA from 1 species
UACGUAGAUGGCAAGCGUUGUCCGGAUUUAUUGGGCGUAAAGCGAGCGCAGGCGGUUCUUUAAGUCUGAUGUGAAAGCCCCUGGCUCAACCAGGGAGGGUCAUUGGAAACUGGAGAACUUGAGUGCAGAAGAGGAAAGUGGAAUUCCAUGUGUAGCGGUGAAAUGCGUAGAUAUAUGGAGGAACACCAGUGGCGAAAGGCGACUUUCUGGUCUGUAACUGACGCUGAGGCUCGAAAGCAUGGGUAUCAAACAGG